UACAGAGACUGCAAGCGUUAUUCGGAUUCACUGGGCGUAAAGGGUGCGCAGGCGGCCGAGUGUGUGAGGCGUGAAAGCCCGGGGCUUAACCCCGGAAUUGCACCUCAAACUACACGGCUAGAGCAUUGGAGAGGGUAGCAGGAAUUCAUGGUGUAGCAGUGAAAUGCGUAGAUAUCAUGAGGAAUACCAGAGGCGAAGGCGGCUACCUGGACAAUUGCUGACGCUCAGGCACGAAGCGUGGGAGCAAAGG
rnacentral:rRNA from 1 species